GAUCCUGGCUCAGGGUGAACGCUANCUACAGGCUUAACACAUGCAAGUCGAGGGGCAGCAUGAACUUAGCUUGCUAAGUUUGAUGGCGACCGGCGCACGGGUGAGUAACACGUAUCCAACCUGCCGAUGACUCGGGGAUAGCCUUUCGAAAGAAAGAUUAAUACCCGAUGGCAUAGUUCUUCCGCAUGGUGGAACUAUUAAAGAAUUUCGGUCAUCGAUGGGGAUGCGUUCCAUUAGGUUGUUGGG
rnacentral:rRNA from 1 species